rnacentral:lncRNA from 1 species
UAUGACUUAACUUAAAUCAUUUUAGUUCGGAUGUGUACACACUUGACCAUUAUGAUUUAAGAGGCAAAAUAUAAGGAGUUACAUGAUGAUGUAAUUGACAAGAGAUGUCUACCUAUUUAUUUAUAUAUAGUUUGUUGUGCACACACAAGGCUAUAUACAUUUGAAAUGAGAUCAUUAUCCUCACUAGCAAAUCUUUAAUUAGAUAUUGUCGAACUAUAUCGAUGAGGGUAAUAUAGUUUGAAGAAAAUAGUGAGAGAUACCAAUAUAAAAUAAGACCUAAUUUAUUUUGGUAAAAUAAAUUAAUAAAUGAAUGUUUGCUAAAACGAUGUCUUUUUAUAUGCAGAAUUUUGAAAAUGUCACAUUCACUAAUUUCACUGCGUAGCAUACUUGAUGCCAACAAACUGACCGGACCAAACUUAACAGACUGGUUAAGGAAUCUGAGAAUUGUUCUCACUGUUGAAAAGAUUUCUUAUGUCCUAAAUUCGUCAGUCCCUCAAAAACUUGUUCAAACAGCCUUUGAAGAAGAGAUUGCUACUUUUAAGAAGUGGCAAGAUGAUGCAUAUUUAGCUCAAUGCAUCAUGCUCGCAUCCAUGAGUAACGAGCUUCAGCGUCAGUAUGAAAUCAUGGAUGCUCAUGCUAUAUUAUUGCACCUGCAAGAGAUGUAUGGUGAGCAAAGUAGGACUGCUGGAUAUGACAAUUAGUCAUUAUUGUUCCCAAACGAUGCACAUAUUCAUUAACACAGAAGGAUGAAGAUUUAAUGCAUGAAUGAGAAUAUUUUCAUCAAUGACAACGUUUUUCCCUUGAAGGCAAAUGUUGAUACCUAGUAGAAGACAAGUGUGAUCUUUAUUGAAGACCAUAUGAGUGAAAAAUUCAGCAAUAAGACCAGGAUAUAUGUGUCUAUCAGAGAAUACAACUAUACUUUCCCAUCUUAUAGCUUUGAAGUGUUCAAGUAAGUUAGGAAAACUACAUAAUGCAAUUCCUAGACCUAGACCUGGAGUAAGGGUAUGCUUCAUUAAACGAUAUUUGGUGUGUGGAGAAGGUGUAAUUAAAUGAGGUACACAACCAGAAGGAUUUUUAUCAAAAUGAAGUGCACGUCUUUUUCUUUUUGACGAAAAUAUAGGUUCUAUGGUAGACACACAAGACAUAAGUAUGUAGCAGCAAAUUAGACAGAAUGAGACUGAAAGUGAAUGUAUUAUAUAUUAGGAAUGUCUAUAUAUAGAUGAGAUAGAUAAUCAUUGAUGUCAGUCCAAAUAAAUGAAUUGAAUAUAUGGAAAGUUACUAAAAGAAGAUAUACGGUACAGAUCUUAUUAGUAAAUGCACAUAAUAACUUGUGAAAGAAGAGACCAUACUUCUUAUUGUUUUAAUCAUUUUUCAACAAAUAUUUAAGCAAAACAGUGUUAUGACAGUAAACAGUAUAUAGACUUUCUGUUUAGUCAAGAAAAUUAAUAUAAUCUUUGACCAACUCUCUUUAAAAUUAGUUUUUUUAAAAAAAAAUCAUUUCAACAGUAAAAUAGAGAGAGUCUCAAUAUCACAAUUUGUGAUUAACAACAGAGAAUAACAUUUAAUCAGAUAGGCAAACAAGAUAUGAUAGUUCAAAAUUUAUUUCCUUCAUUAAGUCCAUACAGUAAACAAAUGUUAACCCAUUACGCUAUAUCAGAUAAUCAUUACUUAUAAAAAAUAUUGGACAGGUAGAACAAAAGCAGAAGAGAGAGAAAACAAAAAAAAAAUCCAAUGGACAUCAGUAUCAAGGCUAGCCAACGAAUGCAUAUAAACAUACUUCUAGUAGACAUUAGUGUCUAUAAAAAAAUAUAAAGCAUUGGUUUACAAAGGGUUACCUUUUAGCAGAGCAGAGCCGACAAUAUAUAACUCUAAAUCAGUGAACUCACAACAUACACGACAAUAUGUAACAAUAUAUAUUUAAAUUCAAGAGUGAUAUUCAAUAUUCAUAUUUCGAAGAUAAUAAUUAAAAUUCAAUAAAAUGAUUCAGGUAAAUGAAAUAAUACUAGAUGAAGCGCAAACUUUUAAUGAAUUUCUAAUCAUUUUAGGAAUUAUAGAAGCAAUACUUACCAUUGUAAGUUUAAAUUUAGGAGUAUGAAAGAAAGUGAUAUCCCUUUAUGAAUAUGAAAGAAUUAAUAUUUCUUACGAGUAUUGAAAAAAAAUAACAUCUUUUACCUUAGUAGAAGACUAGAUUUGACUGAAAUAAAUGAGAUUAUCUUGAAAAAAUCUUACACUAUUAACUACACACAAAGUAUCCUUAUAGUCAAAAGAAAUACUCACAAUAUUAUGGAAGAAAAAUUUUAUAUUUUUGGUGU